rnacentral:rRNA from 1 species
UGUGGCGGGAGUAUUCAGUUGGAGCGCUUUCGACGCUCGCCCGGAAGAAUUUGAAGCCGAAGGUUCCCGUGACGGGGCCCGUUCCGGCGUGGCGGACGGAGUGAUCCGACGCAUUUGUUUCCCGCCCGAAGGACGCCGCAACCGGUUGGGGGACGGCCUUAAGGGCGAAUACUGGCAGGUGGCCGUUGGCUGGGCUUGUCUCAGUCGACGGUUGUUAGCCUUUUCGUCACACGGCUCGUCCGCCGACCGUGGCAAUAAAAAAGCCUCGUUGGGCUUCGUCGUCUCCUCCCAUGGUAGCGGGUAAGAGGCGCGACAGGGGCUCGAGCUGGUGCGGGCGCACAGACAGACUCUGUGGCCAUGCGCCGCCUUGUCCCCGUUAGUUGCGCAAGGCCCGCGGGAGUGCGUGACGGUUUGCGGCGAGUAGAUCGGUCACCCACCCGACCCGUCUUGAAACACGGACCAAGGAGUAU